GCCCCGGGCCCGAGCGAAGUUGGCCCGCCCCGGGCCUCGAGUGGUGGCGCCGCUCCCCCUCCCUCGGGCCCACGGAGGAGGCCGGGAGCUGAGGGGUGACCAGGCCAGCCCGGCGAUGAUUGCAGGAGACGUCGAAGAGAACUCAUCUCAGGAGCCUCUUGUUGCAUCUUACCUCCCAGCCUUGUAUCUCCCAGCAGAGAAUGAAACUGCUCAAUAUUAUCUCAGUUUUUCAAAUGUAUCUCAGAAUACAGAUGAAAAGAUUCCAGAGGUUAAGUGAAUGUGGCAGAAUUCAAUAAAAGGAAAAUGUAAAAAAAUAUUCAGGAUAAAUUUUGUUCUAAAGGGGAAAAGGACCAUAUGGGGGCUUCAGAAAAUAGGGAAAGUUCUAUUUCUUCAACUGGGUGGUAAGUACCUAGAUACUUGUUUUACUGUUACUUUGUCUACCCUAUACAUGAUAAAUAUUUGUACCUAUUUAUUGUUUAAUAAAAACUAUGUGAAUCCUUUGACCCAGCCAAUUCUAUUCUGAAAUUUUAGUUCAUGGAAAGAAAAGCACUUGCACGUAGACUAAAUGUACAAAGAUAUUAACUGUAUCAUUAUUUGUGUUGGGCUAAAUAAAGUGGGUGCUCAUAAAUAAGGUAAAUAAAGUGGGUGCUCAUAAA